GAAAUUUUAAAAUUUGAAAAAUAUAAAGACAUAAAAUGAUCUAAUUAGAGAAUAUUGAUUAAAUCUACAAUUAUACACAUAGUAUAGUACUAGUAACUGAAUUUAACCAAAACUUAUAAUUAAUUAAUAUUUAAUUAUGUUAAAAAAAAUUAUUUUUUGGUAGAAAGGAUCAGCACAAAACGAUUACAAUCUUAAAAGUACUAUCAACUUAGAGAAAAAGUACUACGCCCAGCUAUCAAUACAUACCUUACUGAAUUUAGAGGCUUCUAAAACAGUUGUACGUUACCUAAUCCACUUGAAGCUAUUUUGGUCAUAUGAUCAGCAACCUUAUUUUGAGAUCUCAAAACGUGACGAAGCCUUACUUUCUAGUCCCACUUGAGCAAAUAAUGUAUUAAGCGUAACUCCCCCAAUUUGUUAUUGGCUAUUCCACCAGCUAAAAUUAAUUCUACCAGAAGCGCGUUGUUGCAUUCCAGCUCAUGCUUUAUGUAUCUGUUCUCCCAUGCUAUUUGAAGACCUUGUAGCACAACUCUUGCUUCAACCUUAAAAAUGGUGUCCUUGCCUAUCCAUAAUGAAAAACCACACAACCAGUUUGCAUCAGCAUCUCUAAACACAUCCCCAAGAGAAGCUCCUGAUCUAUUUUCAUUUUAUAUGUUUGAAACCUUACUUUCCAGUCCCGCUUGAGCAAAAAAUUAUUGGAUUAGAGAAUCAUAUUCAAUAAUAAAAAGAACCCAUAGAUGAAGGGGGUCUAGUAUUAGAUGCACAAAAACAAGAAAAUUUGAAAUCAGAUCUCUCAAACCAAUAAAAGAUGAAGAAGAUUAUAAUAAAUCAGACAACAACAAAAACCCAAAGAAAAAGCAAUAUAAGAGCAACAUGGAAGUAAAGCUUGAUUUCUUCCUAAAAAGGUAUUUGUGUUUUCAAUUGAGCUUGUUUAUGUCAAUUAUUUUUUUAUUAAUAAUUAUUUAUUAGUAACAAUAAUUAGUACUUUAAAAAUUUUGAUGUUAUUUUUAUUUUUCAAUGAGUGUGCAUAAAAUUAAAUAUUUUAAAAAAAUAAACAAGCAAUCGACGAUAACAACAAAUUUACAUCACUAACCAAGAGCGAAGCAAGAAAAAAUUUUAAAAGUCCAAAAUUAAAUUAUAAUUUUUACGAUAGUAAAGAUAUAAUUUUAUCAUACUAAUAGUUUAUAUCUUUACAAUUUUUAAAAAAUUAAAUUAAUUUUUUUAUCAUUUUUGAGAGAUAAAUACAAAUUUAUAUUAUUAAUUUAAAAUUUUUAAAAUUUUAAAAUACGUAAAUAAAAAUUAUUUUUAUAGUCCCUAAAUACCCGCCCCUGGCCAACUACUCAACAAUAGAAACACUGUCAUCCAGUCAAUUAUUUUAUCCAAAAUAUCCACAUUCAUACAGUAAUUCUAUGUCCAUUUUCCAACACUUCCUUAUUAAUUUCGAUAAUUUAAAUUCUAUUAAUUUUAUGGUAUGUUUCUAAAAUUUAAAAUUUUAAUGAAUAAUUAUUAAAUUCAUUAAGUUUUGAUAUUUCUAACAUAUGAUGCGGCAAAAGUAUUAUUUUAUACGUAAUAUUAUGUUAGCUUGUUGUUUCCAUAUAUUACUCACUUAAAAUCCUUAUAAUGGAUUAACUUAUUUGCGUCAAUACUGAAAUUCUAAAAUUUGAAAAGUAGAAGAACAUAAAAUGGUCCAUUUAGAUAAUAUUGAUUAAAUCUAUAAUUAUAUGCAUAGUACAGUACUAGAAAUUGAAUUUAACCAAAACUUAUAAUUAAUUAAUAUUUAAUUAUGUUAAAUAAAAUUAUUAGUAUUUAUUUAUAAAUCAUUUAUGAUUUUUUAAUUUUAUCUCAAUUAUGAAAUGUUAUACACCACCAAACAUAUCAAAUAUUAUUUCAUAAAUUGUUAAUAUAAAUUAAAUUCAAUAAUUAAAUCAAUUCAAAUACGAAAGAAAAAUCAUAUAAAUUAAUACAUGGUGGGACAAAUCUCCGUUGUCACCAAAACUUUCAAGGGCUAAUUUUUCUUCUUGGUACCUACAUAAUUGGGUGUGCAUAAAAGUCCAAAUGUCGGCAUGACUAACAUUACAUCAAUCUAGUUUGACGAAAAAUAUGUUACAAAAGCAUAAUUUUCUAUGUCCAAGAUUCUGGUAAACUUAAUGCAUACUAGUUAAUUAUUUUAUUCAAAAUAUCUAUAUCAAAAAGUGACAAUAUGUCUAUUUGCACCCUAAAUUAUUAAUUAACGAUUAAGUUCGACAAUUCAACUUAAAAUUUAUAUUUUUUAUAUUAUUUUUAUUUUUCACCCAAGUAAUCAGUGUACAUAAAAUUAAUAUUUAAAGAUUACCCAACUAAUAACAUUCGAAACACAGUUCUAGUAAUCAUACAACUUUAAUAUAUAUAUAUAUAUAUAAACAUGAAUGACUUUAUAAAAAAUUAAUUUAAUGCAUUCCAGUCAAUUAUUUUAUUCAGAUUCAUAAAGUACUUGUAUGUCCAUUUGCUCCCUAAACCAUUCAACACUUCUUUAUUAAUUUUGACAAUUUAAAUUUACUAUUUUUUAAGAUUUUUAUGGACCAAACAUAUUAUCAGAUAUAUAAGAAUAAUUUUUUUAUUAAUUUUUAUGUUUUUAAAAUUUAAAAUUUUAGUUCUUAUAAAAGAAUUACUAUUAAAUUUAUUAAGUUUCGAUAUUUUUACUAUAUGAUGCGACAAAUGUGUUAUCUUAUGUUAGUUUGUUGUUUCCACAUAUAACUCACUUAAAAUCCUGAUAACGGAUUAACUCAUUUGUGUUAAGACUGAAAUUUUAAAUUUUGAAAAAUAUAAGGACAUAAAAUGAUCUAAUUAGAGAAUAUUGAUUAAAUCUACAAUUAUACCCAUAGUAUAGUACUAGUAACUGAAUUCAACCAAAACUUAUAAUUAAUUAAUAUUUAAUUAUGUUAAAAAAAAUUAUUUUUUGGUAGAAAGGAUCAGCACAAAAAGAUUACAAUCUUAAAAGUACUAUCAACUUAGAGAAAAGUACUACGCCUAGCUAUCAAUACAUACCUUCCUGAAUCUGGAGGCUUCUAAAACAGUUGUACGUUGCCUAAUCCACUUGAAGCUAUUUUGGUCAUAUGAUCAGCAACCUUAUUUUGAGAUCUCAGAACGUGACGAAGCCUUACUUUCUAGUCCCACUUGAGCAAAUAAUGUAUUAAGCGUACCUCCCCCAAUUUGCUAUUGGCUAUUCCACCAGCUAAAAUUAAUUCUACCAGAAGCGCGUUGUUGCAUUCCAGCUCAUGCUUUAUGUAUCUAUUCUCCCAUGCUCUUUGAAGACCUUGUAGCACAACUCUUGCUUCAACCUUAAAAAAUGGUGUCCUUGCCUAUCCAUAAUGAAAAGCCACACAGCCAAUUUGCAUCAGCAUCUCUAAACACAUCCCCAAUAGAAGCUCCUGAUCUAUUCUCAUUUUAUAUGUUUGAAACCUUACUUUCCAGUCUCGCUUGAGCAAAAAAAUUAUUGGAUUAGAGAAUCAUAAUCAAGAAUAAAAAGAACCCAUAGAUGAAUGGGUUCUAGUAUCAUAUGCACAAAAACAAGAAAAUUUGAAAUCAGAUCUCUCAAACCAAUAAGAGAUGAAGAAGAUUAUAAUAAAUCAGACAACAACAAAAACGUGAAGAAAAAGCAAUAUAAGAGCAACAUGGAAGUAAAGCUUGAUUUCUUC
rnacentral:lncRNA from 1 species